rnacentral:rRNA from 1 species
GCAGGAUGACGGUCCUAUGGAUUGUAAACUGCUUUUAUACAGGAAGAAACACUACUUCGUGAAGUAGCUUGACGGUACUGUAAGAAUAAGGAUCGGCUAACUCCGUGCCAGCAGCCGCGGUAAUACGGAGGAUCCAAGCGUUAUCCGGAAUCAUUGGGUUUAAAGGGUCCGUAGGCGGUUUAGUAAGUCAGUGGUGAAAGCCCAUCGCUCAACGGUGGAACGGCCAUUGAUACUGCUAAACUUGAAUUAUUAGGAAGUAACUAGAAUAUGUAGUGUAGCGGUGAAAUGCUUAGAGAUUACAUGGAAUACCAAUUGCGAAGGCAGGUUACUACUAAUUGAUUGACGCUGAUGGACGAAAGCGUGGGUAGCGAACAGGAUUAGAUACCCUGGUAGUCCACGCCGUAAACGAUGGAUACUAGCUGUUGGGAGCAAUCUCAGUGGCUAAGCGAAAGUGAUAAGUAU